GACAAUUUGGCCUCAAAUCAGGUAGGACUACCCGCUGAACUUAAGCAUAUCAAUAA
rnacentral:rRNA from 1 species